rnacentral:misc_RNA from 1 species
UCGCGGCUUAUCACCGGCAGUCCCCUUAGAGUGCCCAACUGAAUGAUGGCAACUAAGGGCGAGGGUUGCGCUCGUUGCGGGACUUAACCCAACAUCUCACGACACGAGCUGACGACAGCCAUGCAGCACCUGUGUCCACGCCCCUUGCGGGGAGGAAUCCAUCUCUGGAAGCCGUCGUGGGAUGUCAAGGGCUGGUAAGGUUCUGCGCGUUGCUUCGAAUUAAACCACAUGCCCCACCGCUUGUGCGGGCCCCCGUCAAUUCCUUUAUGUUUUAGUCUUGCGACCGUACUCCACAGGCGGGAUACUUAAUGCGUUAACUGCGCCACUAAGAACUCGAGGCUCCCAACGGCUAGUCGACAUCGUUUACGGCGUGGACUAC